CAUUAAAACACCGGUUCUCGUACGAUCACCGAAGUUAAGUAACGUAGAAGCUGGUCAGUACUUAGAUGGGUAAUCGCUUGUGAAUACCAGGUGCUGUAAG